CAGUCGCCGCGGGAAUACGUAGGUGGCAAGCGUCGUCCGGAAUUAAUGGGCGUAAAGCGCGCGCAGGCGGAUCGGUUAGUCUGUCUUAAAAGUUCGGGGCUUAACCCCGUGAUGGGAUGGAAACUGCUGAUCUAGAGUAUCGGAGAGGAAAGUGGAAUUCCUAGUGUAGCGGUGAAAUGCGUAGAUAUUAGGAAGAACACCAGUGGCGAAGGCGACUUUCUGGACGAAAACUGACGCUGAGGCGCGAAAGCCAGGGGAGCGAACGGGAUUAGAUACCCCAGUAGUCCCUGUCUCUUAUACA
rnacentral:rRNA from 1 species